GGGGCUAUAGCUCAGCUGGAAGAGCGCCUGCUUUGCACGCAGGAGGUCAGCGGUUCAAUCCCGCUUAGCUCCA
rnacentral:tRNA from 1 species